rnacentral:rRNA from 1 species
UUCUUCGGAGAGUUUGAUCCUGGCUCAGGACGAACGCUGGCGGCGUGCCUAAUACAUGCAAGUCGAGCGGAUCGAUGGGAGCUUGCUCCCUGAGAUUAGCGGCGGACGGGUGAGUAACACGUGGGCAACCUGCCUAUAAGACUGGGAUAACUUCGGGAAACCGGAGCUAA